rnacentral:rRNA from 1 species
AUUGAACGCUGGCGGCAGGCCUAACACAUGCAAGUCGAGCGGUAGAGAGAAGCUUGCUUCUCUUGAGAGCGGCGGACGGGUGAGUAAUGCCUAGGAAUCUGCCUGGUAGUGGGGGAUAACGUUCGGAAACGGACGCUAAUACCGCAUACGUCCUACGGGAGAAAGCAGGGGACCUUCGGGCCUUGCGCUAUCAGAUGAGCCUAGGUCGGAUUAGCUAGUUGGUGAGGUAAUGGCUCACCAAGGCGACGAUCCGUAACUGGUCUGAGAGGAUGAUCAGUCACCCUGGAACUGAGACACGGUCCAGACUCCUACGGGAGGCAGCAGUGGGGAAUAUUGGACAAUGGGCGAAAGCCUGAUCCAGCCAUGCCGCGUGUGUGAAGAAGGUCUUCGGAUUGUAAAGCACUUUAAGUUGGGAAGAAGGGUUGUAGAUUAAUACUCUGCAAUUUUGACGUUACCGACAGAAUAAGCACCGGCUAACUCUGUGCCAGCCGCCGCAGUAA